GGUGGGCGGCGGUUACGGAAUCAAAGUGGAACAGUGAAAUUGGGACGGGCCUUGCCCUAAACUCGGGCCGGACACAUUAGAUAUUUAGGCUAUCAAACAGAAAAAUAAACCAUGAUACCUAUCUAAUCUGCUCAUUACUACCCUAUCAAACACGCCCUAAGUAAUAUCUCAUGUAGGGAGGAGACAAACUUGUUCAGCUACUCAUUGGUAGCUCUUACUUGUAUACAUAAAAAUAAAAUAAAAACAAAAACAAAAAAAAAAGAAAAACGAAAAUAAUUUUAAUAACUAAAAAAAAUUACAAAGAUAUGCUUGGAGAGAAAGGGUGUUUUGUUUUUGAUGGACG
rnacentral:lncRNA from 1 species